UACGUAGGGUGCAAGCGUUGUCCGGAAUCAUUGGGCGUAAAGAGCUCGUAGGCGGUUCGUCGCGUCGGCUGUGAAAACCCGGAGCUCAACUCCGGGCCUGCAGUCGAUACGGGCGGACUUGAGUGUUGCAGGGGAGACUGGAAUUCCUGGUGUAGCGGUGAAAUGCGCAGAUAUCAGGAGGAACACCGGUGGCGAAGGCGGGUCUCUGGGCAACUACUGACGCUGAGGAGCGAAAGCGUGGGGGAGCGAACAGG
rnacentral:rRNA from 1 species